rnacentral:SRP_RNA from 12 species
GGCGGCUCUGGAUGCCGCGUCGUUCUCGCGAGCCCGCUUGAGGAGUGAGUCGAAUGAUACGUGUGAAGACUCUGGUGUGGCUGACAUCCUCGCCGUCGAGAAGAGAACGCAGAGCGCGCGCGGCCGGUUCCACAGGGAAGCGGGG